rnacentral:lncRNA from 1 species
CCCGGGCUCCGGAGACCUGGCGUGGCGGAUAUUUGUCUGUGAUACGAUUGUAAUUUGGGCCCCUUUUGGCUGCAGUAAAUUGUCCUGUGUGCCCAGCGCCAGGCUGAAAUAGCCCGGCGCACGCGCCCCAGGAAAUGAGCUCAGGGCCGAGCCGCGGGCGGCGGGGAGCGCGCGGCGCCCGGCGGCCGCGUGGGAGGCGCGGCUAUUUUUUCAUUUGACCGACUUCAACAGAUUAGGGAUGCUCCACCUAUACCGUAUGGGCCAGGCACAGUUUUAGGUGCUGAGGAUACAACAGUGAACAAAACCGAGCAAGCCCCACCUCUGUGGCACUGAUAUUCUGGUAGGGGAGCAUGAUAAUGGACAAAUGAAUAUGUGGCAU